GAAUUCACCACCAUUAAGGUUAGUUGAAACUUUCUUUAGUUGUGAAGAAAUAAAUUUUUUGCCUUGGCAGUUUUAGUGGAUUUGAAAGCAAAAUGGCGGAUCUCAAAGCAUGGACCUUUGGUUUAGUAAUUGUAGCGGCUGCAGUAGCAGCAGCCGUAGAUUAUUUUCGGCAUAGGAAUGUACAGAGGCAGUACCAUACCAACGGCCAAAGGAAUUCAAGACGCCAAUAAUAACAAGGUUAUUGAAACAACGUAUCUUCAAGAUUUAAUAACAUUCCUCUUAUUCUAUUUAUAUGUAAUCGGGUUGUAUAAUGAAUUGUAAUUUUGAAAUAUAAGAACUAUAUAUAUUUGAA